ACGCACCUUCCAGAGCCUCUGUACUGUCCCCCUGCUCCGUCGAUGGACACUCAGGGGCCCUAGCGACAAGCUCCUUUGUCCUCCGGCCUGUGGUUGGAGAGCCAACGAGAUGCGCAGGCAGAGACGCAGGAAGAGAGGAAAGCGAGUCCGGGCUGGGCCCACUCUCCGCGGGCUGCUUUCCCGGGCGUGGUCCUCCACCGCAGGCCACGGCGCCCGGGGGCACUCACCAUUCCCUCUCCUCCCGACCUAGGGUGGCUACAGCGUCCCACAGGUAGCAGUCACCGUUCCUUGCUGGCUUCUUUCAACCCAGUACAUCCUUGUAAAUCACCCUUUAUUAAACUUUCCUCAGUUUCCCUCCUUUGACUGUGUUACUUGUUCCCCGUGGAAACCCUAACUGCAAGGCCGCUGUUUAGGUCCCACGGCCGGCCCAUGAUGGGAAGUUCACUGCCUGCUCUUCAUACACCUCGGUUAGAUCAGCUUGUGUCUGGAAAGGAGUCCAGCAGGGCUUGGCUCUGUCGUGCCGGGAGGGCCGCCUCCCCAGUGUGCUUACUGAGGGCCGGAGCCGUUGGCGUGAGGCCAGCGUCAGCCAGGAAGGCCGCCGUCGGUCACCUGAGCGCCAAUCCUAACCUCUGAGCGUCCCGGGCUUUCUGAAUCAGACAACGUCCAGACUUCACACGGCUGCCGAGCGCAAGAUAUAUUCUGAAAAAGAAGAGAAGGAGGAAGAAGAACUGUCAAGGGAGGAGCAUGACUGUUUUCAUGAGGAUCUACAUGUGACAAAUGUUACCCCAGGUACUAGGCUGCAGAGGUGGAAAAAUCUCAGGAAAAGACUGAUUGGGUCAGCAGGGGUCAGGUACUCUGCCUCCAGACCAACCAGCUGUGGACCAGCAUGGCGAAGUCAUCAAAGAGAAGCUGGCAUUUUCAAAAUGAACUCUACCAAAGACUAAGAAGGAAAACCAAGGGGCCAACCUGUUGUCCUUCUUGGGCUUGAGAGACAGAACAGCAUGUCCUCUAGGCGAGGCAGGGAAGUGGCAGCUGGACUGGAAAUAGGGGAGCCCCAGGGCCCAGUGAACAGUCAGAAGGGAGCAGGGACCCUGGGUGCUCAGCCCUGGAGCUCUCAGCCAUGCAAACCUUGGAGGCUUCCAGUCUUCUCUAAUGUAAGGAACUGUUUCCUGGCCUAUACAGAGGCCUAAAGAGUCUAUUUGGGAGUCUAGUGCCAAGAUCUCUGAGAUAAUAGAUGCAAAAGUCUUACACAUAAUGGAGGUGAUAUUAUAUUAUUAUUAUGUUAAUAAUAAUAAUUAAAGCUUAUGAUUGUGAUAAGUGCACCUUUGGGAAUACUUUCAACCAAAUGGCCCAGAUCAGCACAAGUGGUUUUUGAGAGUCUAGAAAACAUAAAAUGUGUUUAUGUCUACCAAUAGGAAAG